GACGAACGCUGGCGGCGUGCUUAACACAUGCAAGUCGAACGGUAAGGCCUUCGGGUACACGAGUGGCGAACGGGUGAGUAACACGUGGGUGAUCUGCCCCCUACUCUGGGAUAAGCCUGGGAAACUGGGUCUAAUACUGGAUAUGACCUCCUUCUGCAUGGUUGGUGGUGGAAAGUUUUUCGGUAGGGGAUGAGCCCGCGGCCUAUCAGCUUGUUGGUGGGGUAAUGGCCUACCAAGGCGACGACGGGUAGCCGGCCUGAGAGGGCGACCGGCAACACGGGGACGGAGACACGGCCCGGACUCCUACGGGGGGCAGCAGUGGGGAUAUUGCACAAUGGGCGCAAGCCUGAUGCAGCGACGCCGCGUGGAGGAUGACGGCCUUCGGGUUGUAAACCUCUUUCAGCCGGGAUGAAGCGAGAGUGACGGUACCGGUAGAAGAAGCACCGGCCAACUACGUGCCAGCAGCCGCCGUAGAAC
rnacentral:rRNA from 1 species